AGGUCACAGACCAGUUAAAUGCCGCCAUUUUGCCUCUUAGUGCGCAUGCUCAAGCUCACUCAUCCUGCGCCUGAGAUCUCACUGAUACCAAAAACUAUGCCCAGCCAUUCCCAUGCUGCUCACCAUGAGACAAAGCACAGCAGUGCGGUGGAGAGAGACUGGAGUGGAAAAACAAUGAUCAUGAUCAAUUGCAGUUAUAGGACCAUGUGUGCUCAACAUUAGGGCCUUGGGUCCUUGGAAGAAAACUGGACAAAUGGAGGCAGAAGAGGUGGCUGAAGCUGAAGCCCUAUCUUUAGGGUUGCUUACCUCUGACUUCCAAGGGUCUGGAGUCCAGCCUCACCUCCCACAAAAGGCUGUGAGAACAAUGGAAGUGGAGGCUUUCAGUUCAUAAAAUGCUCUGUCAUUAUUACACUUGAUUUGAUAUUUUUA